ACCCGCUGAACUUAAGCAUAUCAAUAAGCGGAGGAAAAGAAACCAACAGGGAUUGCCCUAGUAACGGCGAGUGAAGCGGCAACAGCUCAAAUUUGAAAUCUGGCGUCUUUGGCGUCCGAGUUGUAAUUUGCAGAGGGCGCUUUGGCAUUGGCAGCGGUCCAAGUUCCUUGGAACAGGACGUCACAGAGGGUGAGAAUCCCGUACGUGGUCGCUAGCCUUUACCGUGUAAAGCCCCUUCGACGAGUCGAGUUGUUUGGGAAUGCAGCUCUAAAUGGGAGGUAAAUUUCUUCUAAAGCUAAAUACUGGCCAGAGACCGAUAGCGCACAAGUAGAGUGAUCGAAAGAUGAAAAGCACUUUGGAAAGAGAGUUAAGAAGCACGUGAAAUUGUUGAAAGGGAAGCGCUUGCAGCCAGACUUGCCUGUAGUUGCUCAUCCGGGUUUUUACCCGGUGCACUCUUCUAUAGGCAGGCCAGCAUCAGUUUGGGCGGUUGGAUAAAGGUCUCUGUCACGUAUCUCCUCUCGGGGAGAACUUAUAGGGGAGACGUAAUGCAACCAGCCUGGACUGAGGUCCGCGCAUCUGCUAGGAUGCUGGCGUAAUGGCUGUAAGCGGCCCGUCUUGAAACACGGACCAAGGAGUCUAACAUCUAUGCGAGUGUUUGGGUGUCAAGCCCGAGCGCGUAAUGAAAGUGAACGGAGGUGGGAACCUUUCGGGGUGCACCAUCGACCGAUCCUGAUGUCUUCGGAUGGAUUUGAGUAAGAGCAUAGCUGUUGGGACCCGAAAGAUGGUGAACUAUGCUUGAAUAGGGUGAAGCCAGAGGAAACUCUGGUGGAGGCUCGCAGCGGUUCUGACGUGCAAAUCGAUCGUCAAAUUUGGGCAUAGGGGCGAAAGACUAAUCGAACUAUCUAGUA
rnacentral:rRNA from 1 species